ACAUUUUGCAUGCAAAGAAAGCCAGAGUGGCUAGAUUACUCCCUUAGGGUAAUGGAGAAAGGAAAAAGAAAUUGAAAAAGGUCAGGUGAACAAAGCAGAAGGAAUGAAGAGGUUUGUGUGAUUCUUAGUGAAAUUGGACCAGUCUAAGCAACCAGACAGUGCAGUUCAGGAAACCAGGCUGAAGAAUGUGAAAUACAUCGCCCAAAGUCAGACACGGAGGAACAACUGCUUCGGAGCUAGCAAUUUCCUGAGCUGGAAUUGCACCACUGGCCUGUAGAAUCCAAACUGUUUUCUACCAGAACAACUCCUUCCCUGCAGGAAGCAGGGUGUGCACAGCUGAACCCUGGUCUGAGAAGGUUGAAGUCACUGACUCAGCCCCAGCAAGGAAGUUGCCCUUCGACUUCUGACCUCUGGCCCUGUUUGAAAACCAACUCAAAUCGUUUUUCUUUUUCAGAAGCUGCUUGCCUCCGCUUCACCUUCCACCAUGAUUGUAAGUUUCCUGAGGCCUCCCAGUCAUGCUUGCCGUUAAAACUGUGGAACUUGCUGCUGAUGGAGGAUGCUGUCAAUCCAGAGUCUGACAGCUUCUUGCUCCUAUGCUUUACAACGAAUGUAAAAGACAAGUCUCAGGAAAAGAUGUAAUUUUAUGGAAGAAAAAAGAUAGAAAAUAACAUUACCCAAAUGAAAACAGAUGAAGAUAAAGAUCAUUUCUUGAACAAUAUCUUCACAUCAUGGCUGGGCAAAGUGGAAAGAGACAGAAAACUGAAAAGUGACAACUUAAAAACUUUCUUUAAACAUAUCACUCUGACACCAAUGUGUAAGAUGAAGUGGACAGGAAUGGAACUGUACUGGGAGGCUCUGACAGUUCGGGUGAGAAGAAAUGAAGGGUCCUGUAAGCAGAUGAGCAGAUGAACAGAAGAGCAGAAGAGCAGCACAGCCGAGAAGGAAUGAAUGGCACAGCAGAGAAGGAGAGAAGAGAAGGAGCAUCUGAACGUUGAGAGUUCAACUAGAAAUGGUCAGAGAGGAGACUGAUCAUGGGAUAGCCAAACUCCAGGAGAAGAUUAUGUUCCCACUCCAUCCCCUUUCCAGAUCCCCAAUCCAUCCCUCUGAGAGCCACCUCUACCACUCGAUAAAACCCCUGCAUUUACCA
rnacentral:lncRNA from 1 species